rnacentral:rRNA from 1 species
UAGGGAAUAUUGGUUAAUGUGCGAAAGCGCGAACCAGCAACGCCGCGUGCACGAUGAAGGCCUUCGGGUUGUAAAGUGCUUUUUGAGGGGAUGAGGAAGGACAGUACCCUCAGAAUAAGUCUCGGCCAACUACGUGCCAGCAGCCGCGGUAACACGUAGGAGACGAGCGUUAUCCGGAUUUACUGGGCGUAAAGCGCGUGCAGGCGGUUCAGCAAGUUGGAUGUGAAAGCUCCCGGCUUAACUGGGAGAGGUCGUUCAAAACUACUGAACUUGAGAGUGGUAGAGGGAGGUGGAAUUCCGGGUGUAGUGGUGAAAUGCGUAGAUAUCCGGAGGAACACCAGUGGCGAAGGCGGCCUCCUGGACCAUUCCUGACACUCAGACGCGAAAGCUAGGGUAGCAAACGG